rnacentral:rRNA from 1 species
UGCACAGUGGACGCGAGCAUCUUUGUGGCCAAGUUAAUAAGGGCGCACGGUGGAUGCCUUGGCA